ACGCUGGCGGUAUGCCUAAUACAUGCAAGUCGAACGCUGAAGCACUCUGCUUGCAGAGUGUGGAUGAGUGGCGAACAGGUGAGUAACACGUGGGGAACCUGCCCAUAAGAGGGGGAUAACAUCCGGAAACGGGUGCUAAUACCGCAUAGGUGAUCAUAGCGCAUGCUUAGAUCAUUAAAGAUGGCUUCGGCUAUCGCUUAUGGAUGGCCCCGCGGCGUAUUAGCUAGUUGGUGAGGUAAUGGCUCACCAAGGCUGUGAUACGUAGCCGACCUGAGAGGGUGAUCGGCCACACUGGAACUGAGACACGGUCCAGACUCCUACGGGAGGCAGCAGUAGGGAAUCUUCCACAAUGGGCGAAAGCCUGAUGGAGCAAUACCGCGUGAGUGAAGAAGGUCUUCGGAUCGUAAAGCUCUGUUGUUAGAGAAGAACCAAGAGGUGUAGUAACUGGCACCUCCUUGACGGUAUCUAACCAGAAAGUCACGGCUAACUACGUGCCAGCAGCCGCGGUAAUACGUAGGUGACAAGCGUUGUCCGGAUUUAUUGGGCGUAAAGCGAGCGCAGGCGGUCUUUUAAGUCUGAUGUGAAAGCCCACGGCUCAACCCGUGGAGGGUCAUUGGAAACUGGAAGACUUGAAUGCAGAAGAGGAAAGUGGAAUUCCAUGUGUAGCGGUGAAAUGCGUAGAUAUAUGGAGGAACACCAGUGGCGAAGGCGACUUUUUGGUCUGUAAUUGACGCUGAGGCUCGAAAGCGUGGGGAGCGAACAGGAUUAGAUACCCUGGUAGUCCACGCCGUAAACGAUGAGUGGCUAAGUGUUGGAGGGUUUCCGCCCUUCAGUGCCUGGAGCUAACGCAUUAAGCACUCCGCCUGGGGAGUACGGCCGCAAGGCUGAAACUCAAAGGAAUUGACGGGGACCCGCACAAGCGGUGGAGCAUGUGGUUUAAUUCGAAGCAACGCGAAGAACCUUACCAGAUCUUGACAUCCUCUGACCACCCAAGAGAUUGGGCUUUCCCUUCGGGGACAGAGUGAACAGGUGGUGCAUGGUCGUCGUCAGCUCGUGUCGUGAGAUGUUGGGUUAAGUCCCGUAACGAGCGCAACCCUUAUUGUUAGUUGCCAGCAUUCAGUUGGGCACUCUAGCGAGACUGCCGGUGAUAAACCGGAGGAAGGCGGGGAUGACGUCAAAUCAUCAUGCCCCUUAUGAUCUGGGCUACACACGUGCUACAAUGGAUGGUACAACGAGUCGCGAGACCGCGAGGUUCAGCUAAUCUCCUAAAGCCAUUCUCAGUUCGGAUUGCAGGCUGCAACUCGCCUGCAUGAAGCCGGAAUCGCUAGUAAUCGCGGAUCAGAACGCCGCGGUGAAUACGUUCCCGGGUCUUGUACACACCGCCCGUCACACCACGAGAGUUUGGAACACCCGA
rnacentral:rRNA from 1 species